UAAGCACUAAAAGGGGGGGUAAGGGGGUGCACUAACAUCUUAGCACCCCAAUUGUCAACCUCACCUGCACGUGGUGCCCCCUGCGAAUCAGUAAACGAGGCAAU